rnacentral:tRNA from 2 species
CGCAGGGUAGCGCAGCCCGGAAGCGCGCUGGAUUGCUUGUCCGGAGGUCGCAGGUUCAACUCCUGCCCCUGCUA